GCGGCGGUAGUUCAGUCGGUUAGAAUACCGGCCUGUCACGCCGGGGGUCGCGGGUUCGAGUCCCGU
rnacentral:tRNA from 1 species